GCCAACGAUCAUACCAAGUUGAAUCCAGUUCUCGUCCGAUCAUUGAAAUUAGCAACGUCGGGCGUAGUUAGUACUUGAAUGGGUGACCGUUUAGGGACGCUACGCGCCGUUGGCU